UUUUUUUUUUUUUUGGUCUUUUUAGGACUCCACCCGCAAUAUAUGGAAGUUCCCAAGGCUAGGGGCUGAAUCAGAACUGCAGCUGCUGGCCUAAACCACAGCCACAGCAAUGCCAGAUCUGAGCCGUGUCUGAAACCUAUAGCACAGCUCACGGACAAUACCAGAUCCUUAAUCCACUGAGUGAAGCCAGGGAUUGAACUCACAUCCUCAUGGAUACCAGUUGGGUUUAUUACUUCUGAGCCAUGAUGGGAAAUUCCUAACAAGUAAUCUUCAACAAUGGUUAGAUUACACAUAAGCAAAAGGAUAUCCCUCAGUAUUUAAAGAAUACUUAUUUUAUAUCACACAAAAAUCAAAUCCAAAUGGAUUAAGACUUAAACACAAAACAUGAAAUCAUAACACAGCUAGAAGAUAACAUAAAAAGAAAUGCUUCUUCACAUUGGUCUUUCUCUGAGAAUGAUAUUUUGGAUCUGACACCAAAAGAAUAGGCAACAGAAGCAAAAAUAAACAAAUAGGACCACAUCAAACUAAAUAUUUCUACCGGGUAAAGGAAACAAUCAACAAAAAGAAAAGGCAUCUUACUGAAUAAGAGACAACAUUUGGAAACCACAGAUUUGAUAAGGGGUUAAUAUCAAAAAUACAUAGAGAACUCAUACAACUCAACAGUAAGAAAACAAACAAAUAAAAAUAUUCAAAAAUGGGGAAAAGACCUGAAUGGAUAUGUUUCCAAAGAAGACAUAUGAAUGGCCAAACAGUAUAGGAUAAGGUUCUUGUGAUAUAGUGAUUUUAUAAGAAGUCACAUAUAUAUUUAUUUGAUUUUGCUCCCUGCUUCUGGCCAAGAGCUCUUAAAAUCCUUGGAAUUUCCAAAAGGAUGAGAACUCCUAGGAAGUCCUUUUCUUCUAAUAUUUGGUAUCUGACCUCAGUUUCUGACCCAGGGCUGCUGAAACCUUCCUAAUUUUCCACGGGAUAGGAAUGUCUUGUUCUAAUGAGGCAACUCUGGUUGGGCUGUUGGAUGGCUCCUGGUAAUGACUGGUCAGCAGAAAGACCAAGCCAUGAUAAGGAACUUGGAAUCUUCAGUCCCAUUAUACAUUCUCUUCAGAAGGACAAAGGGCUGAAAAUGGAGUUAAUCAUCUGUCAUGCCUAUGUGAUGAAGCUUCCAUUAAAAAUCCUGGUAGAGGAGUUCCCGUCGUGGCGCAGUGGUUGACGAAUCCGACUAGGAACCAUGAGGUUGCGGGUUCGGUCCCUGCCCUUGCUCAGUGGGUCAAGGUUCCGGCGUUGCCGUGAGCUGUGGUGUAGGUUGCAGAUGCGGCUCGGAUCCUGCGUUGCUGUGGCUCUGGCGUAGGCUGGCAGCUACAGGUCCGAUUAGACCCCUAGCCUGGGAAUCUCCAUAUGCCAGCACUGGCCCAAGAAAUGGCAAAAACCAACAAAAAAAAAUCAUGGUAGAAGGCAGUAUAGAUAGCUUUCAAGUCAGGGAACACAUCCAUACACCAGUGGCAUGAUGCACCCCAGUUCUACAGGGAUAGAAGCUCCUGAGCUUAGGACCCUCACAGACCUCUCCCUAUGGGUCUCCUCAUCUGGCUGUUCAUCUGUAUCUUUUAGCAUGUCCUUUAAUAACCUGGUAAAAUUAAGUGUUUCCCUGAGUUCUAUGAGCCACACUAGUAAAUAAUCAAAUCCAAGGGUGGGGGGAGGUCCAUGGGAACCUCUGAUUUACAGCCUGAUCAUACAGAAGUUGCGGGUAACUUGGGGACCUACUACUAGUGAUUAGCAUCUGAAGUGGGGAGCACACUGGCGGGACUGAGUCAUUGGCCUGUGGGAUCUGACACUGUCUCCAGUCUCCAGGGGUAGAUAGAAUGAGAAGUGAGUUAAACUGUAGGACAACUAGCUGCUUCGAAGAGACUUUUUUGUGGGGAACACUCCCCACAUAUUUGGUGACCAGAAGUGUCAAAAGUGAAAUGUUCAGUUUAAGUACAAAGUAGACACACUAGAGGAACAAACUGUAGGUUUUCCCCUACAUAGGCCUCAGCACCACCAACCAUCAGGGGAAUGCAAGUGAAAAAUCACAAUGAAAUACCACCUCACACCUAUAAGCAUGGUUAUUAUUAAAAAAAAAAAACCUCUGAAUAUAAAGUUUUGGCAAGGACUUAGAUAAUUGGGAACCUUUAUAUCCUGUUGGGUAUGUAAACUACUAUAGCACAAUUAUGGAAAACAGCAUGAAGGUCAAUAAAAAAUAACACAUGAUUCAACAAUCCCACUUCUGAUUAUAUAUCCAAAGGAAAUGAAAUAACUUGCUCAGAGAAAUAUCUGCAUUCCCAUGUUCACCACAACAUUAAACACAAUAGCCAAGACCUGGAGACAACCUAAGUGCCUGUUGACAGAUGAAUGGAUAAAGAAAAUGUGAUGUAUAUGUAGACAAAAGAAUAUUAUUAAGCCUUUUAAAAGAAGGAUAUCCUAACACUUGCAGCCACAUGAAUGAACUCAGAAGAUAUUAUACUAAGUGAAAUAGGCAAGACAGAGAAAAACAAUAUUGCAUGACCUCACUUAUAGGUGAAGUCUAAACAAGUCUAACUUAGAAACAGAGAGUAGAAUGGUGGUUACCAGGGGCUAGAGGUUUGGGACAAAUGGAGAGAUGUUGAUCCAAGGGGACAAAGUUCAGUUAUGCAAGAGGUAUAAAUGCUGGAUCUAAUGUACAACAUAGUGACUACAGUUAAUAAUUAUGUAUUAUAUACAUCAAAUUUGCUGAGAGAGUAGAUCUCAAAUAUUCUCCCCAUACAAUGAAAAGAAAGAAUAAGUAUUCAUAGUAUAGUUGGUGGACAAAGGGCACAGCAGGGGGAGGCUUAAGCUGUCACCAAAAAUCAAAAACAGUGAGUCCAAAUGUUCAUUACAAGGAAAAACAUGGGUAAGAGAAUAGGCAUUCACCUUUGUUUAUCUUUACAUAAAGAAACACUUGCAGGAUGCUCAAGAAAUCCAAAGGUAUGUAUUUGAGAGUGGCUGGAGUAACAGCACUGGAGGAGACCAGGAUAUGUGGGCAGUGCAUCUUCUCAAGUUAGAUUUACCUAUUUCAGUGAUUUAUUCAAAAUGAACAGAUGAAUGGAUUAAGAAGAUGUGUUACAUAUACACAAUGGAACAGCACUCAGCCAUAAAAAGAACAAAAUCAUGCCAUUUGCAGCCACAUGAAUGUAUCUAUAGACUCUCACACUAAAUGAAGUCAGAAAGAUAAAUACAAGUAUCAUAUAUCACUUGUAUCUGGAAUCACAAAUGAAACUAUUUACAGAAAAGAAACAAGGUCAUGGACAUGGAGAACAAAGUUGUGAUUGCCAAGAGGGGAAGGGGAGGGAGUGGGAUGGAUUGGGAGUUUGGGGUUAGUAGAUGCAAACAAUUGCAUUUGGAGUGGAUAAGCAAUGAGAUUCUGCUGUACAGCACAGGGAACUAUACCUAGUCACUUGUGAUGGAACAUGAUGGAGGAUAAUGUGAGAAAAGGCAUGUAUGUAUAUGUAUAACUGGGUCACUUUGCUGUACAGAGAAGAAAUUGACAGAACAUUGUAAAUCAACUAUAAUAAAAUAAAUAUAAAAAUAAAUGAAAAUAACUAUGAUGUGAUCCAGCAAUCCCACUCCUGGGUGUCUCUCUGGACAAAACUAUAAUUCAAAAUGAUACAUGCACCCCUAUGUUCAUAGCAGCACUAUUCACAAUAGCCAAGACAUGGAAACAACCUAAAUGUCUAUCGACAGAUGAAGGGAUUAAGAAGAUGUGGUACAUACAAUGGAAUACAACUCAGCCAUAAAAAAGAAUGAAAUAAUCUCAUUUGCAGGAACAUGCACACAGCCAGAGAUUCACCUACUAAGUGAAGUCAGUCAGAAAGAGAAAGACAAAUACCAUACCAUAUAACUUAUAUGUGGAAUCUAAAAUAUGGCACAAAUGAAGCUAUCUAAGAAGCGGAAACAGACUCACAGCCAUAGAGACAGACUUGCAGUGCCAAGGGGGAGGGGGAAGGGGAAGAGAGUGGGAUGGACUGAGAGUUUGGGGUUAAAAGAUUCAAGCUAUUACAUUUAGAAUGGAUAAACAGUAAGGUCCUACUGUAUAUCAUAGGGAACUACAUCCAGUCUCUUGAGACAGACUAUGAUGGAAAAUAAUAUUAAAAAAAGAAUGUAUAUAUGUAUGACUGGGUCACUUUUCUGUAAAGAAGAAAUUGGUACAAUAUUGUAAGUCAACUAUACUUUAUACUUUAAUAUUUUUUAAUUUAACAAAGUAAAAAAUAAAAUGAACAGAGAAACUUAUAUAGACAUGCUUUGUUUAUUACUAGUUUAACUUGUGUAAAUAGAAAACCAUUCAAAUAUAUUUCUUUAAACACUAAGGGUUACAAAAUGUAAAUCAUGCAAAGAAAAUUUUCAGAUUUCUUAACUAAAAUGAUAAGGUUCAUCCUACUUUGUCCUUCCUCUAUAUCUCACAUGGAGGUCAUUCUCAGGAAGAAAGUAUAUUCAGUUCAGCUCCUUAAAUGUAGUAGGAUUUUCAAUGACUUCUAUAAGCUUUGAUUAGUUUUCCUUAUAUUAAUUAUAGUAGGAGUUCAGUUCCUCUAGACUUUUAAAUUUAGGUAUCCUCUACAAACGUGCAUAUACACAAAAUACCCAUGUAAAAAUGAAAAAUGUACCUGAAGAGUAAAAAACAUUCACCUCACACCUUAAGGUCCUCUAUUUGGUUCCAUUAUUUACUGGCUUUUUUGUUAUUAAAUUUCUCAAUCAAUGUACAUUUUCUAAGUUCUUUUGUGCUAAGGAAAACUAGAGCCAAAAGGCUGCAAUAUUCAAUGGAUAGAGAAAUCCAAAGGAAAGAAACAUUGGAACCAGGACAGACAAGCGGCCUGCUUCCCAAAGGACAGAAACACCCAUUAAGGGCAUGAAAAAAAAACAACAAAAAAAAAGAGGAAACAAAUGUUAACACAAGCAAUGUAAAAUUGUUAUGUUUUGCUUUUCCAAAAUUCACCUUGUUCUUUAGUUUAUAUUUGGUGUCAAACAGAGAUUUUAACAAAUGAACAAACCUAUUUUGCCUGACAAAUCCAGGGAGGGGCAACUCUGACAGGGCAGAUCACCUAGGAAGUUUCCCAAGAGGUACCUACACCCAAAGGACUUCCCAUAGGAUGUCUGUACCCAGGGAAGAUUCUGGGAGGAUAGACACAAGAUUUCUGCCCCUCUUUUCUGAGUGACCGUGGUGGGGGGGGUUAGCACAGGUCACUUGGUUGAGCAGAUUAGCUUCCACCAGUGGGUAGGACCUUGUCCUUUCCAGAGAUGUUUGCUUUUAAAUAGGACUUGUACUUAGCUGCUCCUAACCGAUGCUAUGCAAAAUCACACAAUGAAAACCAUGGAACUCAUGGAGAAAAUGGCUCUACACUCAAAGCUUUUCUGUUACAUAAAAAAAUAGUAACUAAUAGUGGUUUACAUAUGCUGAGUGGUUGAAAAAUACAAAAACACAAGCUAUAAAACACUUUACCUUGAAAGAGGCCUGCCAUUUGUUUGCAGAAAUCAUCAUCAUAAAGCUUGAAAUCCAUGAGUUAUAAUGAAGAAGUGGAAGGAGAGCUACC
rnacentral:lncRNA from 1 species